rnacentral:miRNA from 1 species
ACAGAUUUUAAGCUAUCUCCAC